AGUUGUUCAAAUCGCAAUCAAGCACGACUGCAUCUGAGACCGCUAAUCAGCCCAUGAUCUGCGCGAAGCAGACUCCCUGCGCCUGGUCUAUCUACAAACCUAUAAGCAAAUAUAUUGAAAUGAAUAUUACAAAUACAUAUUGCAUCUGUUCAGCGACCGAAAACUGUAUUAUUACAUAUGACGAUUCAACAAUAAACGCAUACAUACAUUACUGUAGGCCCGCCAAUCACAAAGAGGACAUAGAUCAGAGUUAGCAAGUGACUCACACGCCCCAAACGCUACUAGCAGGCUGAGAAGGCUUGCUCACACCCACCGCAUUGUCAAUCAGCUAAUAACGGCACCGACGCCGCGACGACUCCGCAUCGGAAGACUGUUCAAAUUUAAACGAUUGCACCGUCAUGUAUUGAUGGUCAUGAAACAUGGUAACUUCAAUAGCUUCCAUUCUGUAUGUAUAAAGUAACUGCGUUUAAUUUGCUGUAUGCAGGAUUGUUUAACAUAAAAUACCAAA